UACGGGGGGAGCAAGCGUUGUUCGGAUUUACUGGGCGUAAAGGGCGCGUAGGCGGUCAGCACAAGUCAGUUGUGAAAUCUCCGGGCUUAACCCGGAAAGGUCAACUGAUACUGUGCGACUAGAGUGCGGAAGGGGCAACUGGAAUUCUUGGUGUAGCGGUGAAAUGCGUAGAUAUCAGGAGGAACACCGGUGGCGAAGGCGGUUCUCUGGGACGGUACUGACGCUGAGACGCGAAAGCGUGGGGGAGCGAACAGG
rnacentral:rRNA from 1 species